rnacentral:lncRNA from 1 species
CAAAUUCUUAGACAAAUUUAAGUGAAUCAAAACAGAUUGUAAAAUGAAUUUGAAUGAAACUUAUGGAUGGAAGAUUAGCUAGGAGGUUCUUCUCCACAUAUGUCACACUUGCAUACAAAACGAUUUUCAGUUGCUUUUCGAUAAGCUAUGAAUACUCAACGCCCCAAAUUAACCGUGAAUUGCACUAAUUAACCCUCAGUUUUUUCCACAAGUUAUUAGGUUGUAUGAUUGCAUACGACAACCCAAAACAUUCCCUAAAAGUUCCCUACAUGAAUUGCAUAAUAGAGAUACAAGCAAGAAUCAUUAAGUUCUAUGAAAAACAUAAGCAUUGACGAGGCACUCGUUACUAUGAUUUGCAUGAAACUUAUGCCAAGAGUUUACUUAACGUGAUUGUGACUAGCAACCUUCACUACUUGUGAAUAUAAGUUUAUAACGAUUAGGUGAAACUCCCUUAUAUUCUAGCGUCAAAUUCAUGCAUGAAAAUUAAGCGUGCACUCUUAACCAACAUACACAAAUUAGUUUUUAUAUGAACGGAUAAGUAAAUUGAAUUCACAACUUGAAUUCACAACUUAUGAAUCACAACUGGAUGUAAUCAAAUCAUAUUGCAAGUAUGAAUAUAGUUUCGAAUCACCCCCUAACUAAGAGGGGUUUAGUUCCUCAUACUCACAAAGCAAAGAUACAUAAAAUUAGACAUUAAAAUCAAAAAAGGAAAGAAAACACCUAAAAUGCUCCAACUUGUUAGCAAGUGCAUCCAAGAUUCCUCCUUUCCCUUGCUUGCGGCAUAUUGGGUUAUGGACAGAUUUUGGG